rnacentral:rRNA from 1 species
AAAUUGAAGAGUUUGAUCAUGGCUCAGAUUGAACGCUGGCGGCAGGCCUAACACAUGCAAGUCGAGCGGUAGCACAGAGAGCUUGCUCUCGGGUGACGAGCGGCGGACGGGUGAGUAAUGUCUGGGAAACUGCCUGAUGGAGGGGGAUAACUACUGGAAACGGUAGCUAAUACCGCAUAAUGUCGCAAGACCAAAGUGGGGGACCUUCGGGCCUCAUGCCAUCAGAUGUGCCCAGAUGGGAUUAGCUAGUAGGUGGGGUAACGGCUCACCUAGGCGACGAUCCCUAGCUGGUCUGAGAGGAUGACCAGCCACACUGGAACUGAGACACGGUCCAGACUCCUACGGGAGGCAGCAGUGGGGAAUAUUGCACAAUGGGCGCAAGCCUGAUGCAGCCAUGCCGCGUGUGUGAAGAAGGCCUUCGGGUUGUAAAGCACUUUCAGCGGGGAGGAAGGCGGUGAGGUUAAUAACCUCACCGAUUGACGUUACCCGCAGAAGAAGCACCGGCUAACUCCGUGCCAGCAGCCGCGGUAAUACGGAGGGUGCAAGCGUUAAUCGGAAUUACUGGGCGUAAAGCGCACGCAGGCGGUCUGUCAAGUCGGAUGUGAAAUCCCCGGGCUCAACCUGGGAACUGCAUUCGAAACUGGCAGGCUAGAGUCUUGUAGAGGGGGGUAGAAUUCCAGGUGUAGCGGUGAAAUGCGUAGAGAUCUGGAGGAAUACCGGUGGCGAAGGCGGCCCCCUGGACAAAGACUGACGCUCAGGUGCGAAAGCGUGGGGAGCAAACAGGAUUAGAUACCCGGUAGUCCACGCCGUAAACGAUGUCGAUUUGGAGGUUGUGCCCUUGAGGCGUGGCUUCCGGAGCUAACGCGUUAAAUCGACCGCCUGGGGAGUACGGCCGCAAGGUUAAAACUCAAAUGAAUUGACGGGGGCCCGCACAAGCGGUGGAGCAUGUGGUUUAAUUCGAUGCAACGCGAAGAACCUUACCUGGUCUUGACAUCCACAGAACUUUCCAGAGAUGGAUUGGUGCCUUCGGGAACUGUGAGACAGGUGCUGCAUGGCUGUCGUCAGCUCGUGUUGUGAAAUGUUGGGUUAAGUCCCGCAACGAGCGCAACCCUUAUCCUUUGUUGCCAGCGGUCCGGCCGGGAACUCAAAGGAGACUGCCAGUGAUAAACUGGAGGAAGGUGGGGAUGACGUCAAGUCAUCAUGGCCCUUACGACCAGGGCUACACACGUGCUACAAUGGCAUAUACAAAGAGAAGCGACCUCGCGAGAGCAAGCGGACCUCAUAAAGUAUGUCGUAGUCCGGAUUGGAGUCUGCAACUCGACUCCAUGAAGUCGGAAUCGCUAGUAAUCGUAGAUCAGAAUGCUACGGUGAAUACGUUCCCGGGCCUUGUACACACCGCCCGUCACACCAUGGGAGUGGGUUGCAAAAGAAGUAGGUAGCUUAACCUUCGGGAGGGCGCUUACCACUUUGUGAUUCAUGACUGGGGUGAAGUCGUAACAAGGUAACCGUAGGGGAACCUGCGGUUGGAUCACCUCCUUACCUUAAAGAA